rnacentral:rRNA from 1 species
UACGUAGGUGGCAAGCGUUGUCCGGAAUUAUUGGGCGUAAAGCGCGCGCAGGCGGUCCUUUAAGUCUGAUGUGAAAGCCCACGGCUCAACCGUGGAGGGUCAUUGGAAACUGGAGGACUUGAGUACAGAAGAGGAAAGCGGAAUUCCACGUGUAGUGGUGAAAUGCGUAGAGAUGUGGAGGAACACCAGUGGCGAAGGCGGCUUUCUGGUCUGUAACUGACGCUGAGGCGCGAAAGCGUGGGGAGCAAACAGG